AAUGAACGCUGGCGGCGUGCUUAACACAUGCAAGUCGAGCGAGAACGUCGACUUCGGUCGACUAGUAAAGCGGCGAACGGGUGAGUAACACGUGGGUAACCUGCCCUGGAGUGGGGGAUAACCUGGGGAAACUCGGGCUAAUACCGCAUACGACCUCAGCACCGCGGUGCUGAGAGGAAAGCUAGCCUAUUCUUGAAAGCUAGCGCUCUUGGAGGGCCCGCGCCCGAUUAGCUAGUUGGUGAGGUAACGGCUCACCAAGGCUGCGAUCGGUAGCCGGCCUGAGAGGGUGAUCGGCCACACUGGGACUGAGACACGGCCCAGACUCCUACGGGAGGCAGCAGUGGGGAAUAUUGGACAAUGGGCGCAAGCCUGAUCCAGCAACGCCGCGUGGAGGACGAA
rnacentral:rRNA from 1 species